GUCAGUGCUGGAUUAUUGUAGUGUCUACCUGUCAAUGUCGCUAAUAUUUGUUGAUGUCGUUACAGCUACUACCUGUCGUGCUACUACUUGUCCUUGUACCUGUCGUCGUAGCGGCAGCACUGCUUGAAAAGACAAACACCGCCCUCUAUCUGUGACAGAAUGAACUGCAGGCAUAUGUUGAGCAUCCCAAGUGAACAUGCUUCAAAGCGCCGGCACGGCCUCUCUCGUCCCGCUCGUGCGUCCACCCUCCAUCAUGUCUGCUGUGGCGAAUGAAAGCGAUGCUCGGGGAGGCGGAACACCCGCUGGAAAGCAACAGAUGGAUCUGUGACGCAUGUUGACGCCUGCACAUCACCGAGGAAAGGAAGAGAAGGAGAGCUGCUCUGGUUGGGGACCCUUCACUGACCGGAUGACAAGUCCCAUUUCUUUUCGUUUGUUGAUGUCAUCAAUGUUUGAACCUGACAUCUUCUUGGUCCUUCGAGCCGGAUUCCAACACGUCUGACGAUUGCAGCAGGGUCAGUGAAACCAGAAGACCAUGGCAAACAUCUCCUGAUUGAGGAACUGCUUUUCUUCACUCCGGCUGGAAUCUGAAGAUUGACGGAAAACAGAGGACAAGAGGAAGGAACGCAGAGUUCAUGCAGAAAUGCCUUCGCCUUUUGUGAUGCUGUGAUAAGACGGCGGACAGUGGUGAUGGUGAUGGAGUUUAGACGGUUGCCCUCGCCAAGCUAUUUCCAGCCUGUGUGAUCUAUGACACUCAGGUCUCUGAUGGAUGAGCCUCAGAUGCUGUCAUCUCUCUAAACGCCUUCACCAUCUCUCAUCUCCUCUUUAAAAUUCCUUUCCUCUUUCCCCCUCCCAAUGACUGUGUGGAUUUUUUUUGCAUCUCUUACAUAACGUCACUCGGGGGACGGAGACCCUUCAAUCCAUACUUCAGACACUGGGGCUUCUCUAGCGGCGCCGAUGUGAGCCAGAUUAGCGACGACGAC